UAGGCCACGCCCCCGAGUAUGCUAGGUUCUCGUGGUCUGUCUGUUGUUCUCUGCUGCCUGGCAUGGCUACUCUUUCGGAGACUGACUCCUGUGAUCUGAGCUGCAUGGAGAGCUACGGAACACCUGUAGGUUCAUAGGCUGUGAUGGAUGCUGGCUGAUUGCUUCUCCAUCUGACGGUUUCUCUUCCUUGCAACUCCAGACUCUCCGCUGAAAUGAAAUGUGGCAUGUGAAAGAGGGACAAUGUAGAGAAUAUUCAUGUUGUCCAAAGCCUGAUCUUCACAUGUACUUACUAUUUUUUGUUUUAUGUCUUUGAAUUAAACCCCAAUGUUCAGAAACAAAGUUUCUUCAAUUAAGCACUCUGGACAGUACACUAUACUGUUAUAUAAAACCAGCCAAAAAUAGUAACAGAUUGAUAACCUAGCCCCAAAGCUUUGAAUGAUAUCCAUAUAUAAACCUGAUAUAAAGAUCUCCCUCCUCCCACAGUCAUGUGGUUAUCUACAAUUGACCACCUACACUGAGCAUUGAUUACAGUUGAAAAUGUGAUUGUCAUAGGCUACUAGAUGGCUGGAAGUCCCACUACCAGGAGAGAAUCUUCCAUACUGUAAGCAUCCCAGAAAUUCUGGUAAACAGAGGGAGGUGAAUAUUUGGCUUUAUAUUAUUACUGUGAGUUGGACUAAAUGCAAUUACCUACAUGUUUUGGCUAUUUUAUGACAUCUUUUUUUAUAUAUGUUUUAGGACAAUAAAAAUGUAAGGGACCACAGAAUAAGUAUUUUAUGUAGGGCAAGAUGACUUCAGAUAUCCUGUUUCUGUACACUGCUGGGUAUAUGCUAUCCUUAUCCUGUUCCUUAUAAAGUGGCAUCAUGUA